UUGCCUUGUACACACCGCUCGUCACGCAAUAUCAAUAUA
rnacentral:rRNA from 2 species